rnacentral:rRNA from 1 species
UACGAAGGGGGCUAGCGUUGCUCGGAAUCACUGGGCGUAAAGGGUGCGUAGGCGGGUCUUUAAGUCAGAGGUGAAAUCCUGGAGCUCAACUCCAGAACUGCCUUUGAUACUGAGGUCGUGUGAGUAUGACAGAGGUGAGUGGAACUGCGAGUGUAGAGGUGAAAUUCGUAGAUAUUCGCAAGAACACCAGUGGCGAAGGCGGCUCACUGGCCCGAUACUGACGCUGAGGUGCGAAAGGCGUGGGGAGCAAACAGG